GUCCACGCCGUAAACGAUGGGUGCUAGGUGUGGGGGUGUCGACUCCCCCCGUGCCGCAGCUAACGCAUUAAGCACCCCGCCUGGGGGAGUACGGCCGCAAGGCUAAAACUCAAAGGAAUUGACGGGGCCCCCGCACAAGCAGCGGAGCAUGUGGUUUAAUUCGAUGCAACGCGAAGAACCUUACCAGGGCUUGACAUGGUCGGGAAAGCCGUAGAAAUACGGCCCUCCUUCGGGACUCGAUCACAGGUGGUGCAUGGCUGUCGU
rnacentral:rRNA from 1 species